GAAGCAGUUUGUGAUUGUUUACGUCAAAAAGGUUCUCUUUAGUCAUUUAGCUACUUAGCUAACUAAGUAGCUAAAUAAUAUAAUAUGUGAUUGUUUACGUCAACCAGGGUAUAAGGAUGUAUGCAAUCUUUUUCUUAGGGUAAAAUUACUAUGUGCAAUAUUGCAACAAGCUAGAAUCAAUAAUAUGCUGGAAUCUGAAAUUUGAUAUAGUAGUAUUGUACCUGUUGCAGACAUCUUAUGACUCAUAAUAAAAUGAAAUGGGUUUACUCUUUUUGUCAUGCCUAGUCGCAUUUCGUAUCCCUGUUUUAGUGUAAAUGCCAUGCAUCAAAGCCUUUUCUAACAUUUGCUUAGGAAUAUUAUUUUGAAAACAUGAUCUAUUCGAUAAAACUUUCGAACUCUGGCAUUCAAACAAGUUUGGUUAUCGAUAAAAAUGGUGAAGGGGCAUUAAUUCAUAGCUUCAUGAAUGUUUUCCUUGCGUUUGUUUAGGCCUUUUAGGCUAAUGGUCGCACAUGACUUGGUAUUGUUGUAGGCCUAAUGCACUCGAAAUUAUUUAUGGAUUGUUGAGUUUAUUCUAAGUUCUCAAUGUGACAUGCAAGAAAUGCUUGCAGCACAGGCAUCUUGCCACUUGUAAAACUAUCUCCACCUCCAUGUGGAACUGGACAUCAGUAUAUAGGUGGCUCCAUUUGCCAAUUUUUGCAAUUUUUCUCCAAUUCUACACAGAACAUACAACUCCCAUCUUCUCCAUCUUUUUGUCCGGUUCUGUUUCACUUUGGUGCUCCCAAGGAUAACCUGUGCUGUAAGAAAAUAACUUCAGGAUUCAUAUCCUGAGCCUUUAAAUAUAUACUCGAACAUGCUUCAUGUUGCUCAACACGGUAUGUGUUAGAUAUAUAUGCCCUAGAAGCCAAUCUGGCUGACACAUUAAUUAUUAAUUCUGGGACAUAAAUUUGUACUUGACUUUAUUAUCAUUGAAUAAUAAAUGGGCAUCUUUUCAUUCAUAUUGCUUAUGCGUGCUCUGAUAGGUAUUCAUGGGUGUCACCCUAUUUUUAAUAGGACCGAACCCAUGUAGGAGUGGAGACUUCCCACCUAACAGUGGUAUCAGAGCCAGGUUAUGUAGAUUAAGAUUAGAAUUAAAUUUUUCAAGGCAUUUUAGAUCUGAAAAUUAAGGGAUUAUGCUUGCUGAAAUUUAUGUAUGCAGAAUUUUCAGCUUGCUGAUUUUUCUGCAUACUAAUUAUAGGAUACUUAGAUUAAUGAUUCUAAUGUUUUGAUAAUGUGAUUACAAAUGUUUAGAAUCAUAUCUUGCAUAAUCAGCAAGUCAUGAGAUGAAAUAAUCAGUUAAAUAUCAGAUCUGAAAAUAAUUUUUAUGCAUGAGAUGCGUAUGGUGAUGAUCAUGGAUGGACCCUUAUGAAUGUGCUGAAAUAUUCUGCAAUGUUCUGUGAUGCAUGUAAUUUUAAUUUUCAGAUGCCUGCGUGCAUUUUAAAUUCAUGUAUUAGAGACCUGCGUGUCUCAUGAUCAAGGGUUGUAAUUUAUUAUUUUUAUUUUUAUUUAAUUUUUAAAGCAAUCUGGGAUGUAAUCUGUGAUGUGUGAUGCACGUUGAUGGUUGAUCGAUAUGUACAUCAACAAGCUCAAUAUGCGCGGACCGAGAUCAAGGGUUGAUUGAAGACGGAUCAAGGAGUUGAUCACAAUUGGACCUAAGGG
rnacentral:lncRNA from 1 species